rnacentral:rRNA from 1 species
UACGUAGGGGGCAAGCGUUAUCCGGAUUUACUGGGUGUAAAGGGAGCGUAGACGGCGAUGCAAGCCAGAUGUGAAAGCCCGGGGCUCAACCCCGGGACUGCAUUUGGAACUGUGUGGCUGGAGUGUCGGAGAGGCAGGCGGAAUUCCUAGUGUAGCGGUGAAAUGCGUAGAUAUUAGGAGGAACACCAGUGGCGAAGGCGGCCUGCUGGACGAUGACUGACGUUGAGGCUCGAAUGCGUGGGGAGCAAACAGG